rnacentral:rRNA from 1 species
ACCACCCCCCAAGGCUAAAUACUCCUCUGUGACCGAUAGUGAACUAGUACCGUGAGGGAAAGGUGAAAAGAACGCCAGGUGGCGAGUGAAAUAGAACCUGAAACCGUACGCUUACAAGCGGUCGGAGGGAGAGUUUAACUUCGGUUGAACUGCUCCUGACGGCGUGCCUUUUGCAUUAUGAUCCGGCGAGUUGCUCGUCAGCAGCAGGUUAAGGCCUUAAGGGCCGGAGCCGUAGCGAAAGCGAGUCUUAACUGGGCGAUAGAGUUGCUGGCGGCAGACCCGAAGCCGUGGCGAUCUACCCUUGGGCAGGUUGAAGCGGCCGUGACAGGUCGUGGAGGACCGAACCGUUGUAGGUUGAAAACUGCUCGGAUGACCUGAGGGUAGGGGUGAAAGGCCAAACAAGCUCGGAGAUAGCUGGUUCUCCCCGAAACAUAUUUAGGUAUGGCCUCUGGAAUUGAGUUCGCAGGAGGUAGAGCACUGGAUGGGCUCGGGUGACGCAAGUCAUACCUCCCCCAACCAAACUCCGAAUUCCUGUUGAAUGCUGCCAGGGAGUCAGUUGAUGCGCGAUAAUGUGCAUUGUCGAGAGGGAAAGAACCCAGACCGCCUGCUAAGGCCCCGAAGUGACAACUAAGUGUAUCUAAGGAUGUGGGUAUGCUGAGACAACUGGGAGGUUGGCUUAGAGGCAGCCAUUCCUUUAAAGAGUGCGUAACAGCUCACCAGUCCAGCGUGGCCGCGCCGAAAAUGGUCGGGACUAAGUUGUCCGCCGAAGCAGCGGACUUCAUGCUUUGCAUGGAGUGGUAGGGGAGCGUUCCCGGAGCGAUGAAGCUGGGGCGGAAGCCUUCCGGUGGAGCGACGGGAAGUGAGUAUGCCGGAAUGAGUACGCGAUAAACAGGGUGAAAACCCCUGUCACCGAAAGCCUAAGGAUUCCUGAGCCAUGUCGAUCAACUCAGGGUUAGUCGGCCCCUAAGGCGAGGCCGAGAGGCGUAGUCGAUGGGAAACGGGUCAAUAUUCCCGUACCAACGUUAGUCUGUUUGAGUCUAAGGAGGGACGCAGGAGCAAGCGGUCCGUCGGUUGGUGGAUUAUCCGAUGUAAGGUUGUAGGCGUUCCCAGGUAGGCAAAUCCGCCUGGGGUAGCUGAGAACUGAUGCGGAGAGGAGCGCUUCGGCAAUCCUCAACGGAUCGUGACGCACGCUGCCUAGAAAAGCUUCGUAGACGAGGGCUAUCGUUGACCGUACCGCAAACCGACACAGGUAGGCGAGGCGAGAAGCCUAAGGUGCUCGAGUGAAUUACGGAGAAGGAACUCGGCAAAAUGACCCCGUAACUUCGGGAUAAGGGGUGCCGGCGGUAAGUGAUUGACUUCGCGUCAUGAGCAGAAACCGGCCACAGAGAAUCGGGCCAAGCGACUGUUUAGCAAAAACACAGGUGCCUGCUAAGGCGAUUAAGCCGACGUAUAGGCACUGACGCCUGCCCGGUGCCGGAAGGUUAAAGGGAAGUGUUAGAUCCUUCGGGAUCGAAGCUCUGAACUGAAGCCCCGGUAAACGGCGGCCGUAACUAUAACGGUCCUAAGGUAGCGAAAUUCCUUGUCGGGUAAGUUCCGACC